rnacentral:rRNA from 1 species
GACGAACCGAGCGAACGUUGUUCGGAAUCACUGGGCUUAAAAGGGGCGCGUAGGCGGGUGUGUAAGUCUGGCGGUGUAAAUCCUCCAGUCUUAACUAGGAGAAGUGCCGUGGAUACUGCUCAUCUCGAAGGAGGGUAGGGGCAUCUGGAAGACGGUCGGUGGACGGUGAAAUGCGUUGAUAAUCGACCGGAAGCUACCGGU